rnacentral:rRNA from 1 species
UACGUAGGGGGCAAGCGUUGUCCGGAAUCAUUGGGCGUAAAGCGCGUGUAGGCGGUUCGGUAAGUCCGCUGUGAAAGUCGGGGCUCAACCCUCGGAUGCCGGUGGAUACUGUCGGACUAGAGUACGGAAGAGGCGAGUGGAAUUCCUGGUGUAGCGGUGAAAUGCGCAGAUAUCAGGAGGAACACCAACGGCGAAGGCAGCUCUCUGGGACGUUACUGACGCUGAGACGCGAAAGCGUGGGGAGCAAACAGG